GACGAAGGUGGCGAGCGUUACUCGGAAUUACUAGGCGUAAAGCGCGGGUAGGUGGCUUGGUAAGUCUGUUGUGAAAGCUCUCGGCUUAACCGAGAGAGGCCAACAGAUACUGCUGAGCUUGAAUCUGGGAGAGGUCACUGGAAUUCCUGGUGUAGCGGUGAAAUGCGUAGAAAUCAGGAGGAACACCCACGGCGAAAGCAGGUGACUGGAACAGUAUUGACACUGAGCCGCGAAAGCUAGGGGAGCAAACAGG
rnacentral:misc_RNA from 1 species